rnacentral:rRNA from 1 species
CAGUAGCCACGGUAAUACGGAGGGUGCAAGCGUUAUCCGGAUUUAUUGGGUUUAAAGGGUCCGUAGGCGGAUCUGUAAGUCAGUGGUGAAAUCUCACAGCUUAACUGUGAAACUGCCAUUGAUACUGCAGGUCUUGAGUAAAUUUGAAGUGGCUGGAAUAAGUAGUGUAGCGGUGAAAUGCAUAGAUAUUACUUAGAACACCAAUUGCGAAGGCAGGUCACUAAGAUUUAACUGACGCUGAUGGACGAAAGCGUGGGGAGCGAACAGGAUUAGAGACCCGAGUAGUCCCUGUCUCUUAUAC